UACGAAGGGGGCUAGCGUUGCUCGGAAUCACUGGGCGUAAAGGGUGCGUAGGCGGGUCUUUAAGUCAGGGGUGAAAUCCUGGAGCUCAACUCCAGAACUGCCUUUGAUACUGAAGAUCUUGAGUUCGGGAGAGGUGAGUGGGACUGCGAGUGUAGUAGUGAAAUGCGUAGAUAUCUGGAAGAACACCAAUGGCGAAGGCAAUGUUCUGGCUCGUUUCUGACGCUCAGGUGCGAAAGCCAGGGGAGCGAACGGG
rnacentral:rRNA from 1 species